rnacentral:rRNA from 1 species
UACGAAGGGGGCUAGCGUUGCUCGGAAUUACUGGGCGUAAAGCGCACGUAGGCGGUCUUUUAAGUCAGGGGUGAAAUCCUGGAGCUCAACUCCAGAACUGCCUUUGAUACUGAAGAUCUUGAGUUUGGGAGAGGUGAGUGGAACUGCGAGUGUAGAGGUAAAAUUCGUAGAUAUUCGCAAGAACACCAGUGGCGAAGGCGGCUCACUGGCCCGAUACUGACGCUGAGGCACGAAAGCGUGGGGAGCAAACAGG